GACGAACGCUGGCGGCGUGCUUAACACAUGCAAGUCGAACGGACAGACAGAGAGCUUGCUCUCUUGAAGUUAGUGGCGAACGGGUGAGUAACGCGUAAUCGACCUGCCCUUCAGAGGGGGAUAACAACGGGAAACCGUUGCUAAUACCGCGUACGAUUCAUGAACGGCAUCGUUUAUGAAUGAAAGGUGGCCUCUAUGUAUAAGCUAUCGCUGAAGGAGGGGAUUGCGUCUGAUUAGCUAGUUGGAGGGGUAACGGCCCACCAAGGCAAUGAUCAGUAGCCGGUCUGAGAGGAUGAACGGCCACAUUGGGACUGAGACAUGGCCCAAACUCCUACAGGAGGCAGCAGUGGGGAAUCUUCCGCAAUGGACGAAAGUCUGACGGAGCAACGCCGCGUGAGUGAUGAAGGUCUUCGGAUUGUAAAGCUCUGUUAAUCGGGACGAAAGAGUUCUGCGUGAAUAAUGCAGAAAAGUGACGGUACCGGAAUAGAAAGCCGCGGCUAACUACGUGCCAGCCGCCGCAGUAA
rnacentral:rRNA from 1 species